CCCGACCCCUACUGCCGCACCGUUGUCACAAACGAGUACAUGAAGGACGAUUUCAUCAUCAAGAUCGAGACGUGGCACAAACCCGACCUGGGCACCCAGGACAAUGU